AAGAACCUAGAGAAGAAAUACGAGGAAAGGACAGGACUAACUAAUCCUGAAACUGUUGAUAACUAUCAGGGUACAAAGGAUGUCUUUAGUUUUUCGAGAUGAAGGGUUGUAGCAGACUCUGGAAAUUUUGCAAAUACAUCAUCAAGCUGAGCUUUAGCCUGAAGAGUUUUUGGGACAGCUCACACACUUGCACGCACACACACUACUUUAGUUGCAGUGUUGGCAAUCUUGCUAUGUCUAAUUUUCUGCAAUAUCAAUUGAACUAGAGACAGCAAGUUCACUAGUUACAAAUGAGGUUUAAUUUUUAAUGGUUAUGUCUGUAUUACUGUUUUAA